UACGAGGGAUGCGAGUGUUAUUCAGAAUUAUUGGGUGUAAAGCGUCUGUGGGUUGAUUUUUAAGUCUUUUGUUAAAUCUGUGGGCUCAAUCUACAAAAUGCAAAAGAUACUAUUAAUCUAGAGUUUAUUGGAAGUAAAGGGAAUUUUUAGUGGAGUAGUGAAAUGCUUAGAUAUUAAAAAGAACACCAAAAGCGAAGGCACUUUACUAUAUUAUUACUGACACUAAGAGACGAAAGUUGGGGGAGCAAAAGGG
rnacentral:rRNA from 1 species